GACGAACGCUGGCGGCGUGCUUAACACAUGCAAGUCGAACGGAAAGGCCCUGCUGUUGUGGGGUGCUCGAGUGGCGAACGGGUGAGUAACACGUGAGUAACCUGCCCUUGACUUUGGGAUAACUUCAGGAAACUUGGGCUAAUACCGGAUAGGAGCUCCUGCUGCAUGGUGGGGGUUGGAAAGUUUCGGCGGUUGGGGUUGGACUCGCGGCUUAUCAGCUUGUUGGUGGGGUAGUGGCUUACCAAGGCUUGGACGGGUAGCCGGCCUGAGAGGGUGACCGGCCACAUUGGGACUGAGGGACGGCCCAGACUCCUACGGGAGGCAGCAGUGGGGAAUAUUGCACAAUGGGCGGAAGCCUGAUGCAGCAACGCCGCGUGCGGGAUGACGGCCUUCGGGUUGUAAACCGCUUUCGCCUGUGACGAAGCGUGAGUGACGGUAAUGGGUAAAGAAGCACCGGCUAACUACGUG
rnacentral:rRNA from 1 species